GCCGCCUUAGCUCAGCUGGCCAGAGCACGUGACUUGUAAUCUCGGGGUCCCCGGUUCGAUUCCGGGAGAUGGCUCGA
rnacentral:tRNA from 1 species